AUCAAACAUAUAUAAUAUGGGUGUUUUAGAUUCUGAGUGGAGCGAAGAAGCUUAUGGUUUUACAAAGAUUUUUUUUUUUUUAUCUGUGCGCCACUUUACCAACAGAAAUCUUAUUCCGAUUUUUAAGUAUAGCACAUUUUCUGAAAGGAAAUUGGGUCGAGGAGAUACUCUAAGGAGGCCAUUUUUCGAUUUUCUGAGGAGUUUUCCGAACAAAUUAGAAAAACCGUGAAAAAACGGAAAAAUGUACCAAAUGUAGACAUUAGUUGAUAAAAAGCUGUCCUAGGGAACAAUGGGAACGGGUGCAACCACUGUUAUAGGUAAUUUAAUGUAUAGGUACCUGUUAACAACGAUAAACCAUUACUAACGAAAAAACAAUUCCGAGCAGAGUUCAGUUGACAGUGAUGCUUUGUCAACAAUAUAUAUGUCAUUACGGUAAAAUAAUUAAAUAGACAUUAUAAUAUUAGACAUAUUUUCUUUGGUAAUAUUGGUUUAAUGUACCAAUUUUCUGGUUUUCCCAUGUUUUUUCCCGGUUUUUCAAAUUCGAUGGGAAAACUCUACAUGAAAUUUUUCCUUUACUGCCUUCCCAACUUCGCAAUAGUAACUGCACCCACGUGCGAAGCAUGUCCGUCUUUCUUCUUUUUCGGUUUACUGGUUUAUUGCAAGACUAUCUGCGGGUAAAUUUCAAAUUACAAAUAAAUGCACAUAAUCUUUAAAUUUGACUUGUACUGAAGGCGUAUGUUCUUAAUCUGGAGUUAUAUAUAUUAUAAUGUAAAAAAACUGUUAUAGUUUAUACAAAAAUUUAAAAGAAAAUUGAAUAUACUUAUAGUAAUAAUAAUUUACAGCGAGUAAUUUGACAAAAGACGAUAACGAUAGUUUAUAAUAUUAUAGAAG